ACCGCCCCCUCCCUCUGAGAGUGUUCAGUUAGUAUUUCAGACUUAUCGCCACUAAUGGAUUGGUGGGUAUUCAGUCUUUAUUCCAAGUGUCCGAUUUCUGUAGUGAUUAGUCUAUCGAUGUGUUUUCCUCCAAGCAUCAUGAGGGACAGUCCCUAAUGGUUGUUCACAUUAUGUACGUAUUCGCGCCGAUAUUCGUAAUUCCUGACCUCAUUGGUAGCUAAUCCUUAAUAUGCGUGCUGUCUGAUGGGUCAGCUCAACUGCCGAUGAAGAUGUUCAGACAUUUUGAUUGGUCGAUGACAGUAUAAUAGUCCUCCAAUAUAAUCCAUUGUGACAAAACCUGAUCGAGGAAUACACUUGAGAGGAUACAUUUUGAAGAGAAAAUCUGAUUUGUGCCGACUAUGUGGAGGAACUUACGGAUUCUGAUAUUUCUGGUUCUUGUGUCCGUGACAUACGCUGUAUACUUUGACGACUCGCCAAGCUAUGCCCUCUCGUACACCCAGAACCCCUGCAUACAAUGUCUGUUCACGCACAAACAAGAAUACUGCGAGAUUUGUAAAUACGAGGAAGACAAUGGUGACAUGUACACAAACAAAAGAUCAGGUUAUUCCGUGGGAAGAAUCAGAAAGCGUGGAUAUUACUGUCUUUGUUGUGCACGAUCCAGAUUAACAAACUCUGGCUGUUGUACAAUGUGCAGUACUAUCGAGGUAUAAACAUGUGUAAAAUAAUCUACAGAUUCCAUUCAGUGUCACUGGAACAUUCUUCUCAAGCAAUCCAUGGCAAAAGUAAUGUAACAUUUUAACUGGAAUUAAUUUAUAAAUUGAGAUAUGAA